GAACGAACGCUGGCGGCAUGCCUAACACAUGCAAGUCGAACGAUACCUUCGGGUCUAGUGGCGCACGGGUUCGUAACGCGUGGGAACCUGCCCUUUGGUUCGGAAUAACUCCCCGAAAGGGGUGCUAAUACCGGAUAAUUUCUUCGGACCAAAGAUUUGUCGCCUUUGGUUGGUCCCGCUUUGGAUUAGCUUGUUUGUAGGGUAAAAGGCUACCAAGGCGACGAUCCAUAGAUGGUCUGAGAGGAUGAUCAGCCACACUGGGACUGAGACACGGCCCAGAAUAGUACGGGAGGCAGGAGUGGGGAAUAUUGGAAAAGGGGCGAAAGGCUGAACCAGCAAUGCCGCGUGAGUGAUGAAGGCAUUAGGGUUGAAAAGCUAUAUUAAAAGGGAUGAUAAUGACAGUACCGGGAGAAUAAGCACCGGCUAACUACGUG
rnacentral:rRNA from 1 species